UUACGGCCAUAUCACGUUAAAACAUCGGUUUACGUACGAUCACCGAAGUUAAGCAACACCGAGCUUGGUCAGUACCGGGUGACCACUCGGGCAUACCAGGUGCUGUAAG